GGUGGGCUGGUGUGGCCCGGCCUGCUCCCGGCGUUCCAGGCUCAGGUUCCCUCGUCAGCUCCUCCCCUGCCCGGUCCAGGCCGCGGGGCAAAGCCGCCCGAGGCCCCUUGUCUGCAAGCCGGAAAAAGAAAAAAGAAAAACUUUCUGAAGUCUUCCAACGAGGCAAGAACUACUGUGUUUUCUGUUCUAGGAAGAAGAAGGGAAAAGACUGGCAAAAUGUCUUUUGGUUGAUCUAUUUGUAUGCCCUCUUGGAAUGCUGUACUUUCAUAGGAAGAGACGAUGGAGGAGAAAGAAGUGAAUGAUGGAUCACAGGUAGCCAGAUCCCUGGUAAGCUCACUUUUCCUCUCCUCUACAGUGCUGCCAUAGUGCUCAGAAUAUGGGCAGGUCUUAAUCUUUCAGUUCUCAAGUAUUGAGUCCCCCAAAUCCAGAGCCCAGGAGACUCUUGUAACAUAUGAUACAACUUCUCUGUGAUGUGUCCCAUUUUCCUUACACACCUCUUUAUAACUCGUUCUCUCUCAUUUUCAUGGACGUAGAUCUGUGCUACAUGUUGUGAAGCAAACAAAACAGUUAAGUGUCUUCUAAUCAGCCUUUACUAAACAGCUUACCAUAAUUUAAACACUUGAUGUAUCUCUCUGUAAAACAGUGAAUGAUGCUCAGGUCACUGUGACUUCUUGGUUUGAGGUAAUAGGGUCAUUCAAUAUGCCUGGGAAUAUCUACUACCAUGAGUUAAUCAAGAAACUGUUGAGUUGGCAGAGUGGCUCAAAACAUAGAGUGCCUGCCUAGCAAGCGUGAGGCCCUGAGUUCAAAGAAACUGUUGAACCUUGGGGUGAAUUUGACGAUGAUAUAUUAUAAGAACUUUUAUAAAUGUCACAAUGUACCCUAGUACAACAAUAAUAUGAUAAUAAAAAAAGAAACUAUUGAACCUUUCCCGAAACC
rnacentral:lncRNA from 1 species